CCCCAUCUUGUCACUGAUAGAACCCCAGGCUCUUCCACCUAUAGCAAACAAAUAAAAGGACUUGAUUUAUGGGCUUGUAAAUUGGUUGUAUCUACAUGGAAGGUUUAUGGAUUGUGAACCUUUUACUCCGUCUUAUCCUUAGGCUGCACAACAUUUACUUUAGCAAAGGUCUCUCUGUUGCUGAGAUUCUUAAAAAUGGAUGGGAGUCGGUGCAAAGUACAUGGACACAUUGGUGCGAUAUUUUAAAAUUGAGAAACAGCCUCCAAGCUACUUGUGAAGGUGUCAAUUUCUGCAUUGAUAAAGAUUCAAUUAUACUUCUGAUGGGAUUUUUUCUGUUAGCUGUCUCUACAAGAGAAUGAACUUGAGAAAUAUUAAUUUCUAGAUAAAUUUCUUUGGAAAGUGAAGCUUCCCCUGAAAAUUAAAGUUUUUCAUUGCUGGUUUUGAAAAAAUAAACAUACUAACUAAAGCCAAUUUAUUCAAAUGAUGUUUUCAGGGAGAUAAAACCUGUCAAUUACGUGGUAGAGAUUAGAUUAUUGGUGCAAAGGAAUCGGUAUUACAACAGAACUUGAAGCUGACGAGGAUGGUUGACGUUUGGUUUUGGUGGAAAGUCAGGUGCAUAUGAACAACCUAUUAUCUUCCAUUUGUUUUUCAUCAUUCAAUGGGGGCAAUUUCCUAGUUCUUUUUUAGUACUGUCUGGAAAGGUUAUUAGUACGGAUAUAAGUUUGUCAAAAUUUAUUAGCACAUAUGAGGUUCUUUGUUUGGACCCCCAUUGGCUCUACAUAAUUUUUUGGAGUGGGAUUCUAGAUAGCUGCUUUUAUAUGAACCUCGUAAAAAAGUAUUAUGCCGUUGAUCCUAACUGACUGUUUAUAUGUCGGACGAUUUCAACUUGCUAUGUCCCAACAUACUUUUUUUAACAAAAACUGUAGAAGUCCUAACAGUCUACACUUCUGCAUUGUAUCUUGAAAUGCAGAUCAUUUCUCUAGCAUUCUGGCAAAUGGUAGUUUGCAGAUUGAUGAGUUGGUUCCAGUUCCUUUAGCAGGUACAUCACAUCUCAAUCAUAAUUCUGCCCCACUACCCAACAAAAAAAAAUACGACGGUGAUGUUCAUUGGUGCUUGGCCUCCAGAAGUGGGUUUGUCGGAUUUUCAUUUUCUUUGUAUAAUAAAUGUAAUACAUAACUCCUGGAGCCUAUGGAUUUUGGGGAGAUAGUGUAUGUACUGUAGGUUCAUUCUGUUUUCUCCUAAUGAAACUUGGGGUGUGUGCACAAUUACAGAAUUACCAAGGAGACAUUUUUCGGACAGAAAGAAAAUCUAAUAUUUGGUUUCCGUCCAUUUUCUACUUGCAUUAGCAUUAUAAAACACAAUGAAU
rnacentral:lncRNA from 1 species